GCGGAAGUAGUUCAGUGGUAGAAUGUCUCCUUGCCAAGGAGAAGGUCGCGGGUUCGAGCCCCGUCUUCCGCU
rnacentral:tRNA from 3 species